UGGGGAAUUUUGGACAAUGGGCGAAAGCCUGAUCCAGCAAUGCCGCGUGUGUGAAGAAGGCCUUCGGGUUGUAAAGCACUUUUGUCCGGAAAGAAAACGCCGUGGUUAAUACCCGUGGCGGAUGACGGUACCGGAAGAAUAAGCACCGGCUAACUACGUGCCAGCAGCCGCGGUAAUACGUAGGGUGCAAGCGUUAAUCGGAAUUACUGGGCGUAAAGCGUGCGCAGGCGGUCCGCUAAGACAGAUGUGAAAUCCCCGGGCUUAACCUGGGAACUGCAUUUGUAACUGGCGGACUAGAGUAUGGCAGAGGGGGGUAGAAUUCCACGUGUAGCAGUGAAAUGCGUGGAGAUGUGGAGGAAUACCGAUGGCGAAGGCAGCCCCCUGGGCCAAUACUGACGCUCAUGCACGAAAGCGUGGGGAGCAAACAGG
rnacentral:rRNA from 1 species